rnacentral:rRNA from 1 species
UUGCACGCUGGCGGCAUGCUUUACACAUGCAAGUCGCACGGUAACAGGCCGCAAGGUGCUGACGAGUGGCGAACGGGUGAGUAAUGCAUCGGAACGUGCCCAGUCGUGGGGGAUAACUACUCGAAAGAGUAGCUAAUACCGCAUACGAUCUAUGGAUGAAAGCGGGGGACCGUAAGGCCUCGCGCGAUUGGAGCGGCCGAUGUCGGAUUAGGUAGUUGGUGGGGUAAAGGCUCACCAAGCCAACGAUCUGUAGCUGGUCUGAGAGGACAACCAGCCACACUGGGACUGAGACACGGCCCAGACUCCUACGGGAGGCAGCAGUGGGGAAUUUUGGACAAAGGGCGCAAGCCUGAUCCAGCAAUGCCGCGUGCAGGAAGAAGGCCUUCGGGUUGUAAACUGCUUUUGUACGGAACGAAACGGCUCUGGUUAAUACCCGGGGCUAAUGACGGUACCGUAAGAAUAAGCACCGGCUAACUACGUG